rnacentral:tRNA from 1 species
UGGCUUAGAGGAAAAAGCGUCUGCCUGCAAUGCAGGAAGGGACCCAGGUUCGAUCCCUGG